UGGAUCCAGACUUUGAUUAUGGCUCAGGACGAACGCUGGCGGCGCGCCUAACACAUGCAAGUCGAACGAGCGAGAGAGAGCUUGCUUUCUCGAGCGAGUGGCGAACGGGUGAGUAACGCGUGAGGAACCUGCCUCAAAGAGGGGGACAACAGUUGGAAACGACUGCUAAUACCGCAUAAGCCCACGGGUCGGCAUCGACCAGAGGGAAAAGGAGCAAUCCGCUUUGAGAUGGCCUCGCGUCCGAUUAGCUGGUUGGUGAGGUAAUGGCCCACCAAGGCGACGAUCGGUAGCCGGACUGAGAGGUUGAACGGCCACAUUGGGACUGAGACACGGCCCAGACUCCUACGGGAGGCAGCAGUGGGGAAUAUUGCACAAUGGGGGAAACCCUGAUGCAGCGACGCCGCGUGGAGGAAGAAGGUCUUCGGAUUGUAAACUCCUGUUGUUGAGGAAGAUAAUGACGGUACUCAACAAGGAAGUGACGGCUAACUACGUGCCAGCAGCCGCGGUAAAACGUAGGUCACAAGCGUUGUCCGGAAUUACUGGGUGUAAAGGGAGCGCAGGCGGGAAGACAAGUUGGAAGUGAAAUCCAUGGGCUCAACCCAUGAACUGCUUUCAAAACUGUUUUUCUUGAGUAGUGCAGAGGUAGGCGGAAUUCCCGGUGUAGCGGUGGAAUGCGUAGAUAUCGGGAGGAACACCAGUGGCGAAGGCGGCCUACUGGGCACCAACUGACGCUGAGGCUCGAAAGUGUGGGUAGCAAACAGGAUUAGAUACCCUGGUAGUCCACACCGUAAACGAUGAUUACUAGGUGUUGGAGGAUUGACCCCUUCAGUGCCGCAGUUAACACAAUAAGUAAUCCACCUGGGGAGUACGACCGCAAGGUUGCAACUCAAAUGAAUUGACGGA
rnacentral:rRNA from 1 species